rnacentral:rRNA from 1 species
GACGAACGCUGGCGGCGUGCUUAACACAUGCAAGUCGAACGGUGAAGCGCCUUCCUUUUUGGUGGGUGUGGAUGAGUGGCGAACGGGUGAGUAACACGUGAGUAACCUGCCCCCUUCUUCUGGAUAACCGCAUGAAAGUGUGGCUAAUACGGGAUAUUCUGGGUCUGUCGCAUGAUGGGUCUGGGAAAGAUAUUGUUUCGGUGGGGGAUGGGCUCGCGGCCUAUCAGCUUGUUGGUGGGGUGAUGGCCUACCAAGGCGGUGACGGGUAGCCGGCCUGAGAGGGUGGACGGUCACACUGGGACUGAGACACGGCCAAGACUCCUACGGGAGGCAGCAGUGGGGAAUAUUGCACAAUGGGCGCAAGCCUGAUGCAGCGACGCCGCGUGAGGGAUGGAGGCCUUCGGGUUGUGAACCUCUUUCGCCAGUGAAGCAGGCCUGCCUCGUUUGUGGGUGGGUUGACGGUAGCUGGAUAAGAAGCGCCGGCUAACUACGUG